CAGAAAAUAGUUUAGUUUAGAAUCCUGGCUUUGGGAGUCAGGGGUGUGAGUUGAAAUCUUUCUUUUCUGGU
rnacentral:tRNA from 1 species